UACAUGGGGUGCGAACGUUGCUCGGAAUUAUUGGGCGUAAAGCGCACGUAGGUGGUCUGUUAUGUCAGAUGUGAAAGCCCUCGGCUUAACUGAGGAAGUGCACCUGAAACUGGCAGGCUUGAGUACGAAAGAGGGUCGCGGAAUUCCCGGUGUAGAGGUGAAAUUCGUAGAUAUCGGGAGGAACACCGGUGGCGAAGGCGGCGAUCUGGGCAGAUAUUGACGCUGAGGUGCGAAAGCGUGGGGAGCAAACAGG
rnacentral:rRNA from 1 species